GGGCAGGAAGUGUGCAGAGCUCAGAGGCAGCGCCCAGCAACCCCACUGGUGCCCUCCGUGCCAGGCAGAUACGUGCUUGCCCAGUGUGGGCUCUCAGCACAUGUCUGUUGAAUGAAUGAGUUAGUCAAUGAAUUACAAAGAGACCCUUGAAAUAAGACGACCAAGUGGGAGCUCUGGGCAGUCAAUGCUGGUUUCAGACUGUGGCUCCUUCCACGUACCAGUUGGAGACCUACCGGGCUAGAACCUUGUGACCAGAGUGUAGUCUGUGCAGGCGGCGUCAAGAUCACCUACACACUUCAGCAUCCUGACAUCAUAGGCAUGAGUCCCCUGCACGAUCGAUCCCUCGGGUGUAAGAAGCAAGCACUUAACCACUGCAUCAUGGAGUUAGCCCCAUCUCUAUUCUGAUGCUUUGACAACUUGGAGCCUUGCUGACGACCCUCCAGUGACUCCCAGAGUUAUUCGAAUGCCAACCAACAGAUCCAGAGCCUCUGCCCACAUCCACCUCCUUUAGUGGGUUCUCAGACUCUGCACCCUAAUCACCCCUAGCCUGGGUAACAGGCAAUUAGGGACUGCCCCUAUACCCCAAAGCCCCCCGAAAUGAUCAAACUAGCCAAUCAUUUCUCCUGCCCACCAGAGGGCAUGUACAUUCACCAGAGAGACAGAAAGAGAGGGAGCGAGAAGAGAAAGCACCCCGCAAUAGGACAUGGUCACACUGCCGUCUCUUCUCCUCCAUCUCUCCAUCCCGUCAGGAU